AGAAAGUCCGCCAUCUUGUAUGAAGUCGCUGGAUGCCUGGGCUGAGAAUAGCGACGGGAUUAACACGGCCGGGAGCCUUUUCGGGGCCACAUGGCGCGCGUCAAGGGCCAGCUGGGCUCAUACAAUAACACAGCCAUAAUCCGAGUCCCAUUCACACACACACAGAGCCAGAGUCUGACUGAACCCCAUUCACACACACAGAGCCAGAGUCUGACUGAACCCCAUUCACACACACAGAGCCAGAGUCUGACUGAACCCCAUUCACACACACACACAGAGCCAGAGUCUGACUGAACCCCAUUCACACACACAGAGCCAGAGUCUGACUGAACCCCAUUCACACACACACACAGAGCCAGAGUCUGACUGAACCCCAUUCACACACACAGAGCCAGAGUCUGACUGAACCCCAUUCACACACACAGAGCCAGAGUCUGACUGAACCCCAUUCACACACACAGAGCCAGAGUCUGACUGAACCCCAUUCACACACACACACACACACAGAGCCAGAGUCUGACUGAAUCCCAUUCACACACACAGAGCCAGAGUCUGACUGAAUCCCAUUCACACACACAGAGCCAGAGUCUCUGACUGAACCCCAUUCACACACACAGAGCCAGAGUCUGACUGAACCCCAUUCACACACACAGAGCCAGAGUCUGACUGAACCCCAUUCACACACACAGAGCCAGAGUCUGACUGAACCCCAUUCACACACACAGAGAGCCAGAGUCUGACUGAACCCCAUUCACACACACAGAGCCAGAGUCUGACUGAACCCCAUUCACACACACAGACAGAGCCAGAGUCUGACUGAAUCCCAUUCACACACCCAGAGUCUGACUGAACCCCAUUCACACACACAGACAGAGCCAGAGUCUGACUGAAUCCCAUUCACACACCCAGAGUCUGACUGAAUCCCAUUCACACACCCAGAGUCUGACUGAAUCCCAUUCACACACCCAGAGUCUGACUGAACCCCAUUCACACACCCAGAGUCUGACUGAACCCCAUUCACACACACAGAGCCAGAGUCUGACUGAACCCCAUUCACACACACAGAGCCAGAGUCUGACUGAACCCCAUUCACACACACAGAGUCUGACUGAACCCCAUUCACACACCCAGAGCCAGAGUCUGACUGGACCCCAUUCACACACACAGAGCCAGAGUCUGACUGGACCCCAUUCACACACACAGAGCCAGAGUCUGACUGGACCCCAUUCACACACACAGAGCCAGAGUCUGACUGGACCCCAUUCACACACACACAGAGCCAGAGUCUGACUGAAUCUCAUUCACACACACACACAGAGCCAGGGUCUGACUGACAGAGCCAGAGUCUGACUUCACACACACACAGAGCCAGAGUCUGACUGAAUCCCAUUCACACACACACAGAGCCAGAGUCUGACUGAAUCCCAUUCACACACACACAGAGCCAGAGUCUGACUGAAUCCCAUUCACACACACACAGAGCCAGAGUCUGACUGAAUCCCAUUCACACACACACACAGAGCCAGGGUCUGACUGAAUCCCAUUCACACACACACACAGAGCCAGGGUCUGACUGAAUUCCCAUUCACACACACACACAGAGCCAGGGUCUGACUGUAUCCCAUUCACACUGGCUGGAGCUAUAGCCCUAGAUAAAGUUCAGUGAAUUGUUAAAAAUUAAAAGUAAUAUUCAUAUUGGAUGUCACAUUUGGCAAAAACCACUGCCUCUAAGCAUACAAAUUGAGAUUCCUCUCUAUUUUCAGCAGAAAACCUGCUCUUCUCACCUGAGGAAGCCAUUCCUGACCUGAUCUGAAUUUGUAUUUGCGCCGCUGAGUGCUACAAGCAUUUGUGCAGUCUGAGGCCUAUGGCCAAAAUCGAGGUGGAUGAUACAGCUGCUCCCUGCUCUGUAUCUGUUGUGACUUAUGUUUGGGCUAUUUCCACCCACCUCUGAACUGGUAAGGGUUAUCCCGGUCUCCAAUGGAGUGCAUACUUUGCCCCCAAAGAAACUGUCGCUGUCCAUAUCGGUUUGUUGCACAGGGUCUUACCUUUACGAUGGCCACUGCCAUGCGGCUUUCUGCAAGGCCUUUCCUUAUGGUUCCGUUCUCACCCAUGGUUCUGCUAGUGCAGUCUUUCGACUAGCUUUGCCUGUAGUUUUGGGCUACAGUAAGCAAACGCCUUGAUAGUGUCUUACCUGAGCUCCAAGAAAAGAAUAGCAAGCCGACCACUAUGAAACAGCUCCACUACACAUUUCUAGUCUUGUUACCUCAUACCUGGGCCGAGAACCCAUGGUUAUUAUUCCUUCUGCACAGCCUUGGAGGGCAUUUGACCGAUUAUAUCCACCACAUACUGAUGGAUCCUCCCGUGAAACUGAUUUUGGAGCAGAUGAAAGACAGAUCAGUGGAUAUUAUGUGCAGGCUUUUGUGGCAGCCUAGGGCUGGUGGAACAGACACUUUAAAGGGUCUGUGUUUCCAUCUGUGAGCAAUUAGCCUUUCACCGAAAUUGGACUGUGAGCUUAGUGUGAAUCAUUUACAUUUUCCUUUCGCAAAUUACCAGUAGUACUUUAAAUUUACAUGUUGGUGUGUUUUGCCCACCAGAUCAGACCCGUCUUAACAGCUUUAUAGGCCCCGAGGCAAAGCAGUGCAACAGGGCCCUGCCUAUACAACUGCUCACAAUAAUUAAAAUGUAAAUUAUCGAUACAAUUAAACUUAUAUUUAUUGGUAUCUCUGACAACAUGGAAAAUGUAUUCACACUUACUGUAAUAUUCUUUUACUGGCUAAUAUUCAUGGCAGCAUUUAACGAAUGGGCUAGCUCCUCCCUCCAGCUAAUAGGACAGAGAAAAACAACCUGACAAUUAAGAUUAGGUUAUAAAAGAUUCCCAUAGACACUUAUACUCUAGUCUAGUAAAAAGUUGGGUGGGAAACCUAAAUGCUGACAUGAAUAUUAGCCAGGUAAAGAAAAUCAUGCUAAGUAUAAAUAAUUUUUCUGUGUUCCUGGUUAAUCAUGG